UGGAAGUAAAAGUCGUAACAAGGUUUCCGUAGGUGAACCUGCGGAAGGAUCAUUACGAAAUUCGGCGCGCUUCGGCGCUGCCUUAUUCACCCACCCUUUGUCUACGUGUACCUCUAUAGCUUCCUCGGCGGGCUCGCCCGCCGCCAGGAACCCACGAAACCCCUUGCAUUAUACACGAAAACUUCUGAUAACAAACCUAAAUUAUUACAACUUUCAACAAUGGAUCUCUUGGUUCUGGCAUCGAUGAAGAACGCAGCGAAAUGCGAUAAGUAGUGUGAAUUGCAGAAUUCAGUGAAUCAUCGAAUCUUUGAACGCACAUUGCGGCCAUAGGUAUUCCUUUGGCCAUGCCUGUUCGAGCGUCAUUUACACCCUCAAGCCUAGCUUGGUGUUGGGCGUCUGUCCCGCCGUUUUCGCGCGCGGACUCGCCUCAAAGUCAUUGGCGGCGGUCGUGCCGGCUCCUCGCGCAGCACAUUUGCGCUUCUCGGAGGCCCGGCGGAUCCGCGCUCCAGCAAAGACCUUUCAUGACUUGACCUCGGAUCAGGUAGGGAUACCCGCUGAACUUAAGCAUAUCAAUAAGCGGAGGA
rnacentral:misc_RNA from 1 species